GUCCCAGUUCGGAUUGUAGUCUGCAACCCGACUACAUGAAAGCUGGAAUCGCUAGUAAUCGCGGAUCAGAAUGCCGCGGUGAAUACGUUCCCGGGUCUUGUACACACCGCCCGUCACACCAUGGGAGUCGGAAAUGCCCGAAGUCAGUGACCCAACCGUAAGGAGGGAGCUGCCGAAGGUGGAGCCGGUAACUGGGGUGAAGUCGUAACAAGGUAGC
rnacentral:rRNA from 1 species